rnacentral:rRNA from 1 species
UCUGCCCAUCAGACGGGGACAACGAUUGGAAACGAUCGCUAAUACCGGAUAGGACGAAAGUUUAAAGGUGCUUCUGGCACCGCUGAUGGAUGAGCCUGCGGCGCAUUAGCUAGUUGGUAGGGUAAAGGCCUACCAAAGCGACGAUGCGUAGCCGACCUGAGAGGGUGAACGGCCACACUGGGACUGAGACACGGCCCAGACUCCUACGGGAGGCAGCAGUAGGGAAUCUUCGGCAAUGGGCGAAAGCCUGACCGAGCAACGCCGCGUGAAUGAUGAAGGCCUUCGGGUUGUAAAAUUCUGUUAUAAGGGAAGAACGACUUUAGUAGGAAAUGGCUAGAGUGUGACGGUACCUUAUGAGAAAGCCACGGCUAACUACGUGCCAGCAGCCGCGGUAAUACGUAGGUGGCGAGCGUUAUCCGGAAUUAUUGGGCGUAAAGAGCGCGCAGGUGGUUGAUUAAGUCUGAUGUGAAAGCCCACGGCUUAACCGUGGAGGGUCAUUGGAAACUGGUCGACUUGAGUGCAGAAGAGGGAAGUGGAAUUCCAUGUGUAGCGGUGAAAUGCGUAAAGAUAUGGAGGAACACCAGUGGCGAAGGCGGCUUCCUGGUCUGUAACUGACACUGAGGCGCGAAAGCGUGGGGAGCAAACAGGAUUAAAUACCCUGGUAGUCCACGCCGUAAACGAUGAGUGCUA